UCGCGGCUCACUGCUGCCCUCGCCCUUGCUCUCGCCUCUCGCAGCUCGCCCUCGCCCUCAUUGAACUUAUUUAUUUCAAUGAGACGUGAAGGUUGCUCUUGGUUAUUUCCGUAACCAUCUCACGCCCAAGUUGCUUGCCGUUCCAAAUAUUGACAAAUUUGCUCAUCUCAUUAGGGAGCAGCGCAAGGGCUUUCUUGUCUGUAUACAUGAAGUGUGAGUUUUUGGACACUGAUGAGCAAUUACAGGCAAUUACUAUAAUUCUUCAUGAGUCAGGGAUUCAAGUGCCUCUUUCGAUUCUAUCUCUUUUCACCCCAAAUCAAGGUUCAAAUGAAUCGCAUGCACAAUCAACUGAAGUGUUGGAGUGAAGACAUUAAAGUAUAUUGUGGUGGUACUUGCAUCGUCAUAUUCGAAUAAGUUUUGUGAAAUUUACUUUUUUAAUUUAGAACUUUUAUUGAAAUACUAAUUAGAUGUUAAUUACUUUUAUAUUUUUUGAUGUGUCAUUGGAAUUUAUUUUUUGUGAUAGAUUUGUUCAUUAUAUAUCAAUUCAUUUGUGUGUGUAAUAU